rnacentral:rRNA from 1 species
GCUCGGGGAGGUAGUGACGAAAAAUAACAAUACAGGCCUCGUACGAGGCCCUGUAAUUGGAAUGAGUACACUUUAAACGCUUUAACGAGUAUCCAUUGGAGGGCAAGUCUGGUGCCAGCAGCCGCGGUAAUUCCAGCUCCAAAAGUGUAUAUUUAAGUUGUUGCGGUUGAAAAGCUCGUAGUUGGAUUUUGGGAUGGCGCGUUCGGUCGGCCGCAAGGCUUGUACUGGACGUGCCGUCCUCACAUGACCGGUGCCUCUAAGGUGCUCUUGACCGAGUGUCUGUGUGGUCCGGGAAGUUUACCUUGAAAAAAUUAGAGUGUUCAAAGCAGGCUUAAAGCUUGAAUAAUGUUGCAUGGAAUAAUGGAAUAGGACCUCGGUUCUAUUUUGUUGGUUUUCGGAGCGCGAGGUAAUGAUUAAGAGGAACGGACGGGGGCAUCCGUACUGUGCCGUUAGAGGUGAAAUUCUUGGAUCGGCGCAAGACGAACAACUGCGAAAGCAUUUGCCAAGAAUGUUUUCUUUAAUCAAGAGCGAAAGUCAGAGGUUCGAAGACGAUCAGAUACCGUCCUAGUUCUGACCUUAAACGAUGCCGACUAGCGAUCGGGCAGUGUAAAGUAAAGACCUGCCCGGCAGCUUCCGGGAAACCAAAGUCUUUGGGUUCCGGGGGAAGUAUGGUUGCAAAGCUGAAACUUAAAGGAAUUGACGGAAGGGCACCACCAGGAGUGGAGCCUGCGGCUUAAUUUGACUCAACACGGGAAAUCUCACCCGGCCCGGACACAGCGAGGAUUGACAGAUUGAGAGCUCUUUCUUGAUUCUGUGGGUGGUGGUGCAUGGCCGUUCUUAGUUGGUGGAGCGAUUUGUCUGGUUAAUUCCGAUAACGAACGAGACUCUUACUUGCUAAAUAGCUGCUCGACCCGUCGCGGUCAGAGACAACUUCUUAGAGGGACUAGUGGCGUUUAGCCACACGAGAUUGAGCAAUAACAGGUCUGUGAUGCCCUUAGAUGUUCGGGGCCGCACGCGCGCUACACUGACCGGAUCAUCGUGUGCUUCCCUUGGCCGAAAGGCCCGGGUAAUCCGUUGAACCCCGGUCGUGCUAGGGAUAGGGAAUUGCAAUUGUUUCCCUUGAACGAGGAAUUCCCAGUAAGCGCGAGUCAUUAGCUUGCGUUGAUUACGUCCCUGCCCUUUGUACACACCGCCCGUCGCUACUACCGAUUGAAUGGUUUAGUGAGGUCCUCCGAUUGGGCCUGGCGCGCACGGAAACUUGCGCGCCGGCGCCCGAGAAGACGAUC